UACGUAGGGUGCAGGCGUUAAUCGGAAUUACUGGGCGUAAAGCGUGCGCAGGCGGUUAUGUAAGACAGAUGUGAAAUGCCCGGGCUUAACCUGGGAACUGCAUUUGUGACUGCAUGGCUAGAGUGUGUCAGAGGGGGGUAGAAUUCCACGUGUAGCAGUGAAAUGCGUAGAGAUGUGGAGGAAUACCAAUGGCGAAGGCAGCCCCCUGGGAUAACACUGACGCUCAUGGCACGAAAAGCGUGGGGAGCAAACAGG
rnacentral:rRNA from 1 species